GGUCCCAUGGUGUAAUGGUCAGCACUCAGGACUCUGAAUCCUGCAAGCUGAGUUCAAAUCGCAGUAGGACCU
rfam:Chelonia mydas contig146944, whole genome shotgun sequence.